CCAAUAUCUUCUGCAGAAUUCUGCAAAUCUUGUAAACGAAGAGUGCCCUGUAGAGCACCCAAUGUCUCUUCGUUUUGAUUAUCUGUUAAGGUGUCUUCAUUGGUUAGAACACCUAAAGAUCCGGUACAGAGACCAGAAGAAAUAUUAUGGCUCACCUGUGCCAAGGGUGUACGGCGAUUCGGAGGUGUUCACCGUGUGGUGAUUCUGCAGAAACUCCAUCUCUGCGAAAUUUCUGCUCGUAACCGCCCUUAGAGACAACCCCUUUCCCCGCCUCGAUAAAAUACGCGGACGGAUUGCCUCCUCUCUGUAGAGAUGUGGUCCAGCCCCUCUGGUCUCCCUAGCAACCGCACAUUGCUCCAACUUGAAUGUUGAAUAAGAUAAUAAGAUUUGGAAAAUUAUAAAAGUAAGUAUUUUUUUUUUAUUUUUUUUUUUAAAGGAAAGGAAUCUAAAAAUUUGCAUUGCUACUCUUAUGUUAGUUUUGUUAGUUAUUUAAUUAAUGGAAAUUAUUUAAUAGAAAGAAAAUAGAAGAACAGAUGAGUAGAAUACUUUGAAAAAGUGAUUUAUUUCUUAUUAGAGAUUUUUGAAAAAUAUAUACAUAAUAUAUAUAUAUAUUAUGUAUUUUUAAAAAUUGCAAUGUAAAUAUAAAUUCAUAUUAUUAUUAUUGAAACUUAAUAUUUUAUAUAAAAUUGUUGAAAUUUAAUAUAAAAUUUUUAUUUUUUAUUUUUCAUAGAAAAUAAAUUUUUAAUUCUAUAUAUAUAGUAAAUAUUUGUACUAUUUUUACUUUUUUUUUUUUAUAUUAUGUUAUUAAUAGGAUAAUUUUAUAAGAGAUUUUAUAACGAUAUACGAACGGAUAUUAUAGCCAAUAACAAAUUUUUCCAUUAAAUCGAAAUACUGCAAUAUAUAUUAUAAGUAUACUAUAAGUAUAAUACAUACAAAUAUAUUAUAAUACGAAUAAAUAAAAUAUAAAAUUUAAAUAUAAUGUACAUAUUUAUAAUUAUGCAUACAUAUAAAUGCAAGAUAUUCGUGGGAGAUACAAAUUAUGGCAAUUUUAAAGAUUAUAAUAAAUAUAAAAUAAACAUAAAAAUUGUAUAAAACAGUAGCUUUAUCUUGGUUGCACCAUCAUCCGUAUACAUGUAUAACAUUUCGUAUACAUAUCAAUGUAUAUACGAUGUUAUAACGAAAUUUUACAACCAUUAAACGAUAUAUGAAAUAGGAUAUCUCAUCGCUAUAGUUAUGUCUAUUUCAAGCAUUCAACGAUUUCUUUAUUAUUCUUAAGUAUUUAGAGUUAUCCAAGAAAUACUAAUAUAACGUAGAUCAGUCAUGUAAUAUUAUUUGAAGAAUAAGAAUAAAAAAAUCAUAAAAAAAUCAGUGAAUUUUAUGAAUGACUUUUUAUGAAUGGCUGAAAGGAAAAUGCACGUGCAUAUGGACCGAACGUAUAGAAGUACCUUUAUGGCUUGGAAGACCUGCCGGUUUCCUCUAAAGGCUUCUGCAGAAAAUCUGCCGGAUAUUUUCAUUCAUAGUCUGAAAACCAUGUGCAUCUUUCCACGUGAUUCACUUCUCCAUUUUCGACGAUUUAAAUAAUCAUCAAUUACUCCAAAAUUCACGUUUUGUCUGCUUUUUUUUCUCUUUCUCUCUCUCUCAAUUAAAUGUCUCUACACUUUUUCAUUUUGAAAUUUUUACUUUCUUCUAAUUAUUUGAUGAUGAACAAAUAAUUAUGAGAUAUAAUACAAGUAUAUAAUAUUUGUUAUGCGAUAUAUAUAUAUAUCUAAGGUUUGAAUAUAUUUUAAUCUUAAACUUUUAUAUUUAACACAAUCUAUAUCUAAAUUAUUGUUUUAUAUUUAUAUUAAUAAAUAUUUAACAUUUUUGUAACAUUUUUGCACCGUUUUUCUUAACAGUACUCUUUGUUCUUCUUUCUGUUUUUGUACAAACUUUUUAUUUUUUUCUCAAACAUUUUUGAAAAAAAUUCCUUUUUCUUUUUAAUUUCAAUAAGUAUAUAAAACACGUUUUACCUACACUGUCUCACAAUUAAAUUUUCAGUCUGAUUUUGAAGCACAAAGAAGACAUAAUCACACUUUGCACGUUUUCUCUGCCAUUAAACACACUUGGAUCAUUAAGAAGAAUCUAAAGAAAACAGAUUAAAUCACUAAUCAAGUAAGUUAACUUCAAUCACACCAAAUUUUGAUUUUUAACUUGAAUUAAAAUAUUCUUGAAAUUUCUCCAAUUUAGAUCAAUCUCGAGGCAAGAAGAGGAAAUUUUAAGGGAUGGCAUCGUAUGCUACUGUCAUGCUGGCACGAUGGCUUGUCAAUGUGUCUUAACUAACUAGAGAUCUACCACCUACUAUCACCCACUCUCACCCCUUACUCACUGACUACUGCUUCGACCCCACUCCACUACGGGCCGGCCUUUUCGUCGCUCUCUUUUUUCCUUCAUCGUAUUUGCCUUGUUCCACGCACAUAUCAUCCUCCUCUUCCACAUGUGCUUACCCCUACCUUAAAUAACGUUAACCUUCCAUGCUUCCACCGUAAGGUGUUUUGCUAAAGAGAUUUGCAAGAUUUCAAUUUUGCUUAAAGUUAAAUGUGAAUGCGACGAUUUUCAUUCGAUUACUUUGAAUGGAAUAAUAUCGGAGUUGGUUGAAAUUAACCCGUUCAGAGUGAUUUAAUAGAGAUUUAGAUAGUAAUACAAAUUUUACAUUGUAAAUAUUGCUACAUGUAGAUCAGUGAAUAAAUAAGUUAGCCUUUUCUUUAACUUUGUAUAAUACCAUAUAACUAGAAAUUACGAAUUAUUUUACGUUUCACGCGUUAUUCAGAAAUCAUAAUUUAUUUCACUUAAAAUUUAUUUCAGAUGAUCAAUUUUAUACAAUUUGUCUUAUGAAUCCUUAAAUUCUAUAUCAUAAUGAAAUAUAUAUAUAGAUUUAUAAAAUUUAUUUUAAUAUAAGUACAUAUAGUUAUAUAUUUAUCGAAGUAUUUUACAUAAUUUAUCAAUGGCAAUAUUUUUUCUAGAAUAAUACAAGACACGACUUUAUAGUAGUUUUCUAAUGUUCGAAAGAAUAUUCAAUUAAAAAUAUGACGAAAAAAUUACACCUUGAAACAUAGAGUUAAAUCUAUAAUUAAUUCUUAAAAGAAAAAAUAUAUAAUAUCCAUAUAAGAUUUUGAUUAAAUGUUUAUCAUCUAUUUACAACAUACUUAAAUACUUAUUAUAAAAAAUAAAUCAUAUCAAUUUCUUCACCGAAAAGUCCCUGUCAAAAAAUAAAUCGAUCUUCAAAACCAGUUAAAACAACAAUCAACAUUUAUUUUGCCGAAAAAUCAUUGGAACAUCAAUACUUUCAAUAUUCAUCUAAAAAAACCAGUGGAUCUAGAAACAUCCAUUCACCGCAAGGAUCAAAAGAAGAGAAAAACAAAAUCAUCCAUUCAAAACAUAUCACACUCCCGAUCGUAUCUAUUACAAUGUAUAAAAGGAUGCAGCAUAGUCUGGAAAGAAUGCCGAUCAGGAGGACGCAAGAACGGUUUGAACGAUAUCCAUGUCCACGGGCGUGUAAGACUCGAGACGUUCGAAUACACGGGUUGGCCGUCGUCGAUGCCGACGACACGAGAUACUAAUCGUUCAUUCGGCGAUCGGUGAUCGGGGGCCUUCUUCGAGUCUGGUUCAGCGCUACACCGAUAUCCCCUGUUGCCAGGGCGGGACGGGGAAGUAGGAUAUUAUUUUCUUCAGAUACCAUUACCACGCCGAUCAUGGUGGUCCUGCCUUGCAGACGAGUGGCCCCGAUACCCUCGAGAUCACUGGCUUGUAAUGCCUUCCCUUUCGUGGAUUAUUGACCAGUGAACGGUGAGCCCGGCUGCGAAACACUCCAACGCUACCUAUUCCACUUGCGACCCUCAACCACCCUUUCGAACGGUCGCUCCUCGUCACUCCGUCACAACUGGAAAUGCUUCUUCCCAUUUGUUGCGUUUCUUCUUGUGCUGGAAUUUUUUCCAUGGCAAAAGGAUGGUAAGUUCUUCGUUUUUCGUGUUUUGCGUGUAAGUACAUGUUUUCCUAUAGUUGCUAAAAAAUCACGCAAUAUUGUAUUACACAUCCAGUUGCAAAAGAUACGAUUCUAGAGAGAAGGAAUUUGAAUAUUUUGAAUCGUUGUAAGGAUAUCAAAGUUAAAAAUUUGGAAUCUUGAUUAAAAGGGUUUGGGCUAAAACCCUUUCGUUCAACGAUAUUUGUAAAUUUUCAGUUAUUUCAUCGUUGCAUCAAAGUCGUUUCUCGAGUGUUAUGAUUUUAUAUGAAGCGUAUCUAUUUUUUUUAUAAUUGAAUUGUAUUAGAAAUAAUUACAUAACAACACAUUGUUUAUUAAAAAUAAAUAAUUAAAAAUUAAAAAUUAAAAUUAAAUAAUCAAUUCUGUCUUCGGAGGAUUUGAGCAGCGUAUAAUAAUGAACUCGUAUAUAAUGAAUAAUAAGUUACAUUUCGUUAUACUAUGUUUUAAUUAAAAUCAAAAUGAGCAAUAAAUUAGAUUAGUAUAUUAAUUUUAUGUUUAUCGAUUUACAAAUGUUUUUACUUUUAUAUAAUUUUGUGAUUAUAUAUAUAUAAGAUUCCUAAAUCUUAGAUAUCAGGAUAUGUAAUUUUUCAAACAUUGAUGUAUUAUUGAUUAAUAUAUAAAUUUUUUGCAUAGUUUAAAUAAUAAUCCUUUAUAAUUUCUUUAGAAUUUACAUAUAUAUGAUACAUAAAUAUUCAUAUUAUAACAUCUCAACAUCGUAGAAAAUUCUAAUUCUUGAUAAAAGUACGUAAAAACAAGUGUGUAAAAAAAUAUGAUAAGAUAUCAUAAAUUGUUUUCAAACAAAUAUCAAAAAUCUUCGAUUAAAUUUUUAUUUGAUUUUUACUGUUUCAUCGUUCAAUUUGAAGGAAUGAAAUUUUUUUUGUAAUGAUCCAAAGUUUCUUGUUUUACGCGUUCCGAUGAGAUUGUUACCCCUAUUCUUUCCAUUCGAGAAUCACAGCAAAUUUUGCAAAUUAAGAUAGAAUGAGUGUGAAACUUGUGGUUUAAUCACAUGAAUACGUUUAUGUUAAUGCAAAUAUUUGAACACUAAAUUCAUGUAACUUGAUAGCAGUGCUAAGAUCAAGUUUAAAUAUGAAGCCUUUGCGUUGUAUUAUUAAAUUGUAACAGAUAUCUUUUUUUUAGAAAAGUUUGUAAAAAUUCUUCACCAACUACUUAUAUCAUACAAAAUUAUAUCUUACGUUGCAUAUUACAGAUCGUCAAAAAAUCGAAGAGUCAAUAUAAUAAACGAUCUUUAAUUUUUAAUUUUAAUUAUUAAGUUUAUAAUUUUAUAGUUCGAUCAAAUACAUUUCAUCUCUGAACAUUUUGUAAAUAUAAAAUUGACAAUAUGAUCUCGAAUGUAAAAUAAUUCUAUCUUUAAUUCAAGAAAUAUAAACUCAUUCAUUAAUCUCUAUUCUAAAUGAUUCACGGAUAAUAAUAUAGUGAUAAUUAUAAUAACUAUUUAAUAACGUGUAAUUUUUUAAAACAAACAACAAUUGUUUAAAACAACGACAAUGAUUUAUGAAAUGAAUUUCUCCAUAAUGACGUUUUUCUUUUCUCAUGAAUUCCAAGAGAGGAAUGAUGGUGGAAGCGUCAUUUCCGGAAUGACAAAAAGCAAUGAUCCGUUGGAUGAGUAAGGCAGUCAAAAUUUGAAAAAAAUGCGAAAUUUCUGAUAGCUGGAAGUGUUGCCUCUCACGAGGGCAGGCGCAUCCGACUAUCGAAUGUCUCGACAUAAUCGCGACCGUCAGGCCGGACACCUGACUACGUAUAGUUCCGAUGUGGACACAGGAAGAGGAAGUCGACCGCACGGUAUGGCAGCGUUUUGCCGUCGACCGUGUGUCAUCCACGUGAACCAUCCAAUGUAUCGAGGAUCAAAUUCGUAUCGUUUUCGAUAAUUUUUUUUUUUUUUUUAUUCUAUAUUAAUAUAUUUAAAGAAAUAUUGUAUGAGAAAAAAUGUAUAGAAUAGAAUUUUCUUGCUUGGAACUAAGUUUCCGAGGGAAAACCGAGUUUCGCCGAAGAUUCGCCGCAAACUUAAAAUUAAUUGUUAAAAUAAUUAUUAAUUAAUAGCAAUAUUAUUUUUUUAAUAGUGUAAUAAAAUCACAAGGAAGUUUAACAUUCAAAACAAGCAAUAACUAUUAGACAAUAAUUAUUUUUUUACUAAGAUUUUUGAUACAUCGAAAAAAGAAAAAAAUAAAUAAAUAAAUCUCAAUUUUUUCAUAUCCAAUAACAAAAAUUUUAUUAAGCAUUUAAUAUAAAAUUUAACAUAUAAACUUUUUAAAUCUAUUCUUGAUAAGAAGUUUAAAGUAAAAGCCGAUUUUUUUCUCAUAAUUAAAUCUCGAAGGAAAAAAAAUUUUGUUUCGCAUUUCUUUUUUCAUAUUUUUUCAUAAAGAAUCAGUCAUUUAUAUCUUAUUCUACCUAAUGUUCGAUCAUAUCUUACACGUACAUGAAAUACAGGGGGAAAAAUAUGUUAUGUAAUUAAAAAUAAAAAAAAAAGAAACAAGAGAUUCAAGGAGAAAAGUGAAGAGGAGAAAGUGAGAACGAGGAAAAGGGGAGAGGAUAUAAGAAGGAGGAGAAUAAAAGGGUCACGCAGAAGAGCUCACAGUACGCCGAGUGCACACCCUGGGUAUUGGCUUACACUUCCAACUGAUUAGGCUCAUGGUAUUUACGCAGGACCCCGUAGAAAACCGGACCCCGCCCUCUCUCUUUCGAUGGUAACUCACGAUUCCAAGGAAUUGUAACGAGCUGCUUUCUUGCAUCGCGACAUUCUUCACCAUCAAAACUGGGGGGAGUGGAUACUUGAAUGAAGAUGGUUGGCCGUGAUCAAAACUCAAAUCAAAACUUAAUAUUUGAGAAAUAUUAUUAUAUCGGUUAAAUAAUAAUGGAAUAGAUAUUUUGAAUUUGGUUGUGUUGUGUGAUUUUAGAUAAUUAAUUUUUUAUACAUAUACAUUAUAUUUUUUACUAAAGAGUAAUACCCAGGGUAGAUACUUUUAUAUUAUGAUUAAGAAUAUUUAUUUAUUUUUGAAGAGUUUAUAAUUUUUUACAAAAACAUAAUUAAUAAGUAAUUUCGUUAUUCGUGCACUUAUAAUUAAGAAAAUUGUAAAAAUUGAUAUAAUUUUAUAUUUGAAAUUUAUUUUCUAAAAAUAUUUCUCUUUAAAAUUUAAAUUUUUCUAGCAUUUUAUAAAUAUGAUAAAUAUAAUGUAUUUAUUCCAAUAUUUAUUAUAAUAUGAUCAUAAAACAAUUUUUCGCCUGAUACAAAAUAUAAUACAAUGAAAAAUAUUAAAUCAAUUAAUGACACAA